rnacentral:tRNA from 1 species
ACCUGGCUGGCUCAGUGGGUAGAGCAUGUGACUCUUGAUCUCAGUGUUGUGAGUUUAAGCCCUAUGUUGGGGA